rnacentral:rRNA from 1 species
GACGGCCUUCGGGUUGUAAACCUCUUUUAGCGAGGAAGAAGCGAAAGUGACGGUACUCGCAAAAAAAGCACCGGCUAACUACGUGCCAGCAGCCGCGGUAAUACGUAGGGUGCAAGCGUUAUCCGGAAUUAUUGGGCGUAAAGAGCUCGUAGGCGGUUUGUCGCGUCUGCUGUGAAAUCUGGGGGCUCAACUCCCAGCCUGCAGUGGGUACGGGCAGACUAGAGUGCGGUAGGGGAGAUUGGAAUUCCUGGUGUAGCGGUGGAAUGCGCAUAUAUCGAGAGGAACACCGAUGGCGAAGGCAGAUCUCUGGGCCGUAACUGACGCUGAGGAGCGAAAGGGUGGGGAGCAAACAGGCUUACAUACCCUGGUAGUCCACCCCGUAAACGUUGGGAACUAGUUGUGGGGUCCAUUCCACGGAUUCCGUGACGCAACUAACGCAUUAAGUUCCCCGCCUGGGGAGUACGGCCGCAAGGCUAAAACUCUGAGGAAUUGACGGGGACCCGCACAAGCGGCGGAUCAUGCGGAUUAAUUCGAUGCAACGCUUACAACCUUACCAAGGCUUGACAUAUACGAGAACGGGCCAGAAAUGUCUCAACU